rnacentral:ncRNA from 1 species
UUAGAGACAUGUAUAUGGCUAGGGGUCAUUGCGAACUUACCAAACCAUUGCAAACUCGAAUACCGGUGAGUGCCGAGGCUUGGGAGACAGAUCGUCGGGUGUAGAACGUCCUCGCGUCAAAACGAGGCGAAACAACCCAGACCGCCAGCUAAUGGUCCAAAGAUUGAGCUAAGUGGAAACCGAAGUGGGAAGGCUAAAACAUCAGGAGUUGGCCUUAGAAGCAGCAAUCAUUUAAAGAAAGCGCAAUAGCUCACUGAUCGAGUCGUCCAGCGCGGAAUGAUGUAACGGGGCUUAUCGCCAGUCACCGAAGCUGCGGAUAUGUCUUUGACAUAUGGUAGGAGAGCGUUCUGUAAGCCUGCGAUAGGUGUCUUGUAAAGGAUGCUGGAGGACAGAAGUGCGAAUGCUGACCAUGAAGUAGCGAUAAAGCGUGAAAAGCCCCUCGCCGAAACCCAAGGUUUCCUGUAUCAACCGUUCAUCGGAGCAGGGUGAGUCGGGCCCUAAACGGCGAGGCAGAGAGCUAGCUGAUUGGGAAGCAGGUAAUAUUCCUGCCACCUUGUAUGAUGCGAUGGGGGGACGGAUCGCGGAAGGUUGUCUGCCUGUGUGAAUAGGCAGUUUCUGGUUCAUAGAUAGGCGCUUAGCAAAUCCGGCGCGCGGAAUUCAAGGGAUCGCGGACUGGCGCUUCAUGCUGCUUAUAGCAAUCGGAAGUUGUUCAAGAAAGCCUCUACUUCAGUCAUACGAGGACCGUUACCGCCCAAAGACACAGGUGGGCCGAGAUGAGUAUUUCUAAGGCGUUUCAGAGAACUCGCGGAGAAUGAACUCGCAAAUGUACCGUAACUCGGAUAAGGUACGCCCUAGCUGAUUGGCUUUCUACUCCACUGAGGGUAAAAGGGUUGCAAUAAAACUGGUGCUGCCGACUCUUUUAAUCAAAAACACAGCACCUGCAAACACCAAAGUGGACGGUAUAGGGCUGUGACGCCUGCCCGGUGCUGGAAGAUUAAAUGAUGGGGUGCAAGCUCUUGAUUGAAGUCCCCAGUAAACGGCGGCCUUACUAUAACGGGUCCUAAGGUAGCGAAAUCCUCUGUCGGGUAAGUUCCGACCUGCACGAAUGGCGUAACGAUGGCACACUGUCUCCUCCCGAGACUCAGCGAAGUUGAAAUGUUUGUGAUGAUGCAAUCUAAACCGCGGCUAGACGGAAAGACCCAUGAACCUUUACUGUAGCUUUGCAUUGACUUUGAACCAUCUGUGUAGGAUAGGUGGGAGGCUUUGAAGCGGGACCCAGUUCUCGUGGGCCAUCCUUGAAAUACCACCCUGGUUUGUUUGAGUUCUAACCUUGCCGUUAUCCGGGUCGGGACAGUGCAUGGUAAGCAGUUUUGACUGGGCGCGUCUCUCUAAAGUGUAACGGAGGAGUUUCGAAGGUACGCCUAGGUACGGUCGGACAUCGUGCUAAUAGUGCAAUGGCAUAAGCUGUUAACUGCGAGACGACAAGUCGAGCAGGUACGAAAGUAGGACAUAGUGAUCGGUGGUUCUGUAUGGAAGGGCCAUCGCUCAACGAUAAAAGGUACUCUGGGAUAACAGGCUGAUUUCCUCCAAGAGUCAUAUCGACGGGGGAGUUUGGCACCUCGAUGUCGGCUCAUCACAUCCUGGGCUGUAGCCGGUCCCAAGGGUAUGGCUGUUCCGCAUUUAAAGUGGUACGUGAGCUGGGUUUAAAACGUCGUGAGACAGUUUGGUCCCUAUCUGCGUGGGCGUUGGAAAUUUGAAGGGGGCCUCCUAGUACGAGAGGACCGGAGUGAACGACCUCUGCUGUACCGGUUGUCACGCCAGUGGCAUUGCCGGGUAGCUAAGUUCGGAAGAGAUAACCGCUGAAAGCAUCUAAGCGGGAAACUCGCCUUGAGAUGAGAUUUCCCGGAGCCUUGAGCUCCUUGAAGGUCGUUCGAGAGCCAGGACGUUGAUAGGUCGGGUGUGGAAGUGCAGUAAUCAUUAAGCAACCGAUACUAAUUGCCCGUACGGCUUGUCCCU